UCUUCUUGAAGCAAGAUAGUUGUAUGUCCUUAUUUAUUAUCAUUGAGAUGAUAGGAGCCACUGCAUAUUUGUAAGUAUACAAGGGUUUGAUAAAUCUGAUCAUCGAGACAGGGCACAGCAGAGUACCAGUUUAUUAUGAGCAGCCAAACAACAUUAUUGGACUCAUUCUGUUUAAUGAUUUUUUAGUUCCAUCUUUAUCCUGGAACUUCAGACAUCUUCCUCAAUCACGCGAUGAGGAUGCAAAGGUUUUGUUGCUUCAAAGCAUGUCCUAUAUACUGCUCAAAACUCUGCUAGUGUCUGAAAUCCAUUCAACUUAUUAAACAGUAACUAAAGCAUCUUACUCAAUCCAAGCACAAAUACCUGUUGAGGGGCCUUUUACCAGGGUUUUGGAGACAAUGCCCCUAUAUGACAUACUAAAUGAGUUUCAGAAGGGUCUCAGCCAUAUGGCUGCUGUGGUAAAACAGCAGUCACAGCAUAUUGACAAAGUGGAGCAAACAGCCAACAAACAUUCAACAGGUGGUCGGUACUAAUUUCAAUAUGCAAAAUGGCUAGCAUAGAAUCUGCUUGCAGUUUCUAUAGUUUUGAUAUUUUAUGGAACAUGUUUCCUCCAUUUGAACAAAUUAUAGAUUCGAUAAGGGAAGUGAGACUACAAAUUCACAGUGAAAGGCCACCUCAAAAGAAAAGCUUGAAGAGCAGGAGAUCGCUAAAGAACUAGCAGAAUUUGCCUGGGAGCUCAAAUGUUUCACACAGAGUAUCCUUGAAGAGCAGGAGAUGGUUAGAUCAUUUUCACUCAGAGGUCCUGCAGAUUAAUGACAAUUCACUCUCAACACUUGCUGGAGAUGGAGAAGUUAUUGGCAUAAUAACUAUCAAAGAUGUCAUUGAGAAGUUGAUAAAAGAGGAGAUCUAUGAUGAGACUGAUCAUCAUGACAGCCAUUCAUAGCCUGGUUUUCUUCUGACUCAAAGAGCCAAAAUAUGAGCUAUAUAUGAUAGAGGAAGUACAUGUAUUCAGAUACAAGACCCUAGUACAAGAAGUUGAAUGUGUUGACAACAUGACCCUCAAUCUAUCUUCCAAGAAUCAGGGCUCAUAACUGAGAUUGAUUUAUUAAA